rnacentral:rRNA from 1 species
UACGUAGGUGACCAGCGUUGUCCGGAUUUACUGGGCGUAAAGAGCGCGCAGGCGGUCGUUCAAGUCGAGUGUGAAAGCCCCCGGCUCAACUGGGGAGGGUCAUUCGAUACUGAUCGACUUGAAGGCAGGAGAGGGAAGUGGAAUUCCCGGUGUAGUGGUGAAAUGCGUAGAUAUCGGGAGGAAACACCAGUGGCGAAGGCGGACUUCCUGGCCUGUUCUUGACGCUGAGGCGCGAAAGCUAGGGGAGCAAACGGG